rnacentral:rRNA from 1 species
GACGAACGCUGGCGGCGUGCCUAACACAUGCAAGUCGAACGGAGUUUCCAGCAAUGGAUUCUUAGUGGCGAACGGGUGAGUAACGCGUAGACAACCUACCGCUUAGAUGGGGACAACACUGCGAAAGUGGUGCUAAUACCGAAUGUUGUAGUGAGAAUGCAUAUUCUUGCUACUAAAGAUGGCCUCUAUUUAUAAGCUAUCGCUAAGUGAUGGGUCUGCGUCUAAUUAGCUAGUUGGUGAGGUAAUGGCUCACCAAGGCGACGAUCAGUAGCCGGUCUGAGAGGAUGAACGGCCACACUGGGACUGAGACACGGCCCAGACUCCUACGGGAGGCAGCAGUGGGGAAUCUUCCGCAAUGGACGAAAGUCUGACGGAGCAACGCCGCGUGAGUGAAGAAGGUUUUCGGAUCGUAAAACUCUGUUUUCAGGGACGAAUGUGCGAUGUGUAAAUAAUGCAUUGUAAUGACGGUACCUGAGUAGAAAGCCACGGCUAACUACGUGCCAGCAGCCGCGGUAAUACGUAGGUGGCAAGCGUUGUCCGGAAUUAUUGGGCGUAAAGCGCGCGCAGGUGGGAUAUUAAGUCUGGUGUUAAAGUUCGGGGCUCAACCCCGUGAAGCAUUUGGAAACUGAUAUUCUUGAGUGCAGGAGAGGAAAGUGGAAUUCCUAGUGUAGCGGUGAAAUGCGUAGAUAUUAGGAGGAACACCAGUGGCGAAGGCGACUUUCUGGACUGUGUCUGACACUGAGGCGCGAAAGCUAGGGUAGUGAACAGGAUUAGAUACCCUGGUAAUCCUAGCUGUAAACGAUGGGUACUAGGUGUUGGGGGUAUCGACCCCUCCAGUGCCGGAGUUAACGCAAUAAGUACCCCGCCUGGGGAGUACGGCCGCAAGGUUG